CCCCUCUCGGAAUAGCACCUGGAGAGUUUCCAGUACCCUACCAGUCUCGGCAAUGGGAGGGAGAGUCAAGCGGAGGCCUACCCAUUCCGUUCCUAGCUUGGGAAGUGGCUAGCGAGUGGAAGCCCAUCUCCUACAAGU